GAUGAACGCUGGCGGCGUGCCUAAUACAUGCAAGUCGAGCGAAUGGAUUAAGAGCUUGCUCUUAUGAAGUUAGCGGCGGACGGGUGAGUAACACGUGGGUAACCUGCCCAUAAGACUGGGAUAACUCCGGGAAACCGGGGCUAAUACCGGAUAACAUUUUGAACCGCAUGGUUCGAAAUUGAAAGGCGGCUUCGGCUGUCACUUAUGGAUGGACACGCGUCGCAUUAGCUAGUUGGUGAGGUAACGGCUCACCAAGGCAACGAUGCGUAGCCGACCUGGGAGGGUGAUCGGCCACACUGGGACUGAGACACGGCCCAGACUCCUACGGGAGGCAGCAGUAGGGAAUCUUCCGCAAUGGACGAAAGUCUGACGGAGCAACGCCGCGUGAGUGAUGAAGGCUUUCGGGUCGUAAAACUCUGUUGUUAGGGAAGAACAAGUGCUAGUUGAACAAGCUGGCACCUUGACGGUACCUAACCAGAAAGCCACGGCUAACUACGUGCCAGCCGCCGCGGUAA
rnacentral:rRNA from 1 species